GUGGGGAAUAUUGGACAAUGGGCGAAAGCCUGAUCCAGCCAUGCCGCGUGAGUGAUGAAGGCCCUAGGGUUGUAAAGCUCUUUCACCGGGGAAGAUAAUGACGGUACCCGGAGAAGAAGCCCCGGCUAACUUCGUGCCAGCAGCCGCGGUAAUACGAAGGGGGCUAGCGUUGUUCGGAAUUACUGGGCGUAAAGCGCACGUAGGCGGAUCAGUCAGUUAGGGGUGAAAUACCAGGGCUCAACCCUGGAACUGCCUUUAAUACUGCUGAUCUAGAGUUCGAGAGAGGUGAGUGGAAUUCCGAGUGUAGAGGUGAAAUUCGUAGAUAUUCGGAGGAACACCAGUGGCGAAGGCGGCUCACUGGCUCGAUACUGACGCUGAGGUGCGAAAGCGUGGGGAGCAAACAGGAUUAGAAACCCUGGUAGUCC
rnacentral:rRNA from 1 species